rnacentral:rRNA from 1 species
CCUACGGGAGGCAGCAGUGAGGAAUAUUGGUCAAUGGACGAGAGUCUGAACCAGCCAAGUAGCGUGAAGGAUGACUGCCCUAUGGGUUGUAAACUUCUUUUAUAUGGGAAUAAAAUGUUCCACGUGUGGGAUUUUGUAUGUACCAUAUGAAUAAGGAUCGGCUAACUCCGUGCCAGCAGCCGCGGUAAUACGGAGGACCCGAGCGUUAUCCGGAUUUAUUGGGUUUAAAGGGAGCGUAGGUGGAUUGUUAAGUCAGUUGUGAAAGUUUGCGGUUCAAACGUAAAAUUGCAGUUGAAACUGGCAGUCUUGAGUACAGUAGAGGUGGGCGGAAUUCGUGGUGUAGCGGUGAAAUGCUUAGAUAUCACGAAGAACUCCGAUUGCGAAGGCAGUUCACUGGACUGCAACUGACACUGAGGCUCGAAAGUGUGGGUAUCAAACAGGAUUAGAUACCCUAGUAGUC